UUUUCAGCCGCCGCGGUAAAACGUAGGAGGCGAACGUUAUCCGGAUUUACUGGGUGUAAAGCGCGUGCAGGCGGUUCUGUAAGUCGUGUGUGAAAGCGCUCAGGCUCAACCGGGCGAGGACAUGCGACACUGCAGGACUGGAGGGAGGUAGAGGCGUGUGGAAUUCCGGGUGUAGUGGUGAAAUGCGUAGAGAUCCGGAGGAACACCAGUGGCGAAGGCGACACGCUGGGCCUUUUCUGACGCUAAGACGCGAAAGCAUGGGGAGCGAACGGGAUUAGAUACCCGCGUAGUCC
rnacentral:rRNA from 1 species